UCCUUUUCAUAUUUGAUCUUUGGAAGGCCAUCAACUAGCUCAUCUUUGCUUAAAUUUUUGAGGAGAUCCAUGCUAGCAUGAGAAAGCCUUCUAUGCCAAAUCCAAGAGUUAUCACUAAUAGACACAAAGCACUUCAUAUCUUGGUUAGUCAUAGCUUGUAAGUCAAUAAGAUAAAUAUUUUCAACUCUUUCACCAACAAACAAUAUUUUGUUAUCCGACAUUCUAGAAACAAAACAUGAUUUUGGUUCAAAGAUAACUCUACAACCUUUAUCACAUAAUUGACUUACACUUAAUAAAUUAUGCUUCAAACCAUCAACUAAUAG
rnacentral:lncRNA from 1 species